rnacentral:tRNA from 1 species
UGGUUAGAGCGCACCCCUGAUAAGGGUGAGGUCGGUGGUUCGAGUCCACUAGGGCCCA